rnacentral:lncRNA from 1 species
GCGUCACCGGGAGGUACGCUUAACAAGCGACCACUCCGGCUAGGCUAAAGCCUCUGCUUUGCAAACCGCGUGGGGCUUCUUUUGAGCUGUGAGCCGUAGGCGUCCAGAGAGAGAGAGAGAGAGAGAGAGAGAGAAGGUGGGAUAGGGAAGAAGGAUGGAAUUAAAGUGCAUUUAAGAAAGGAGGGUGGGUUGGAUGGUGGCUUCGUUGGAAUGGUUUUGGAUUCUCUCUCUCUCUCUCUCUCUCUCUCAUCCGUUCACUCCCAAUUAAGUUUGCCACUCAUCUUUCUUUUUUCUUUUUUCUUAAUAUUUAUUUAGUUAGGCAAAUAUAUAUAUAUAUAUAUAUAUAUAUAUAUAUAUCUUCAAAAUUGAUAUUUUUCAUAUUUUUCAGUCUAUAUUUAUAUAUCUUCCUUGCAAAACCUAAAGAAAUUCAUGUAUAAUUAAUCUUUGUUCACCAUGUCACCUUUAAUAUAAGUCCUAGUUAUUUUAGUACCCGGUAAAUAUAUUAUGAUUGUAGGAUAUACUAAAUAAUUAUAAUUAAUGGUGGUUGAUGAAGGAUGUGAAGGAGAGGAAUUUAUUUUUGAAGACCUUCAUUUACUUUUUGGAGGGACAUAAGAUUUAUAAUAAAUUUUGUAGGGAUAAAUAUAUUAUUUUCAAUUACAUUUGGCUCAAGAAUUGAUGGGUUUGGUUUUGAGUUCCUUCACCGACGGUGACCGGACUCCAGUGAUAGGCAUCCCAACUCUAGUGGAUAGUCAUCGGCCUAAAUAAUAAUAAGAAUAAUAAUAAUAAUAAUAAAUAUAAAACCGUUGACUUUGGGAAGUGAUAAGAUCGCGUUUACCCGAUGGUGGAGGUAAAACGCCUGUCGUCGACAAAAGUCAACCUGAGUGGUCCAACCGCGAGGUAUGGGGUUUGCCACCCAAAAGCAUUACUCGUAUUACUUGUAUUUUACUGGCACGUCAGUAUUAAUUCUUAUAAUAUAAGCAUAAAAAGUGAGAAAUUAAGAAACAAUUUCUAAUCUUGUUUCCAAUUUCAUCAUAUCAUCUGAUGAUUAAGAUUCAUAAUCAAACAUUUCCAAGUUAGGAGAGCACUGCCAAACAAUGCAAAGUACAAUAACGUCAGAUUCCCAUCAUAUUGAUGUCACAUUUGACGAACCUUACUUCAUUUUCACAUGGAUUUUAUAUAUAGAUUUAUAGAGUUGGACAUUUACUAAAGAAUAGAGAGAACAGUUUUCAGCUUCUAGAGUUCAUCAUUCCACCAGUAAUGGUUAAAAAAAUUGCAGAUUAUCAAUGAAAAUGAUCUGAAAUAUCACAAAAAGAAAAUGAUCUAAGGCAACAGUUCUUUUUUUCUUCUCCUUCUGAAUUCAUUAAUCUUCACAUCAGAAUAAAACAUGACAGAUUAAGAGUAAGAAAGAUAAUAAGAGACUUGGUUUUUAACUAAGUGAGAUGUGAAUUUUCCUUAUGGGUAAAAGAGAGAGUCUUCCAACCAUACACAGAUCAUUCUCCAGCAGAAGGAAUGAAGCAACUCAUUCAUUCAUUCAUGGAAAAGAAGUCCAAGUUUCUGUCAGCAAUAUCAUUCUCAUUUGUAAGCCGGAUAGUGAAAUCAAAGAAAACAGGGUAUUCUUAGAGAGCGAUGGCUGCUUCAAGACAAAUUGGUCGGUUUGGAUUUGUCACACAAGCAUCUGAAAGAGCAGUUGCAAUCAUCAGUAGUUUAGGCUGGUAGAGAAGAUAAGAUGGGCCUUUUCUUCAAAGAUUAGAUACAAGGAAAAGAGAGCUUCCUGUGUCUGGAAAUUGUCAUUCAGUAACCAAUGUGAAGAUAUCCCCCAUAAAGUGUUUGACCAAUAAGCUUAUGGGGAAUUGGUCUAGUGCUGGACUGUUCAAGGAUGUAGAGAGUGCUCCAACUUGUCACUGAUGACGAAACUAAACUUGCUUGUUGAUCUCAGAGUUCAUAUCUGAUAUCUUCAAGGAAAAAAUCAUUCUUCAAAUAGAGAAAAGAACAUUGUUUUCUAGAUCUGCAAGAAAUCUCUAUUUGUAACAGGCAUUUCUUUCUUCUCAGCGUGUAGGCAGGCUCAUGUCCCUUGUCUUGGAUUAUAUAAUAUCAUCACUCUCCCUUCACAUACACAAACACAUGGAAAAUUUCAUGACUCUACUUAAAGGAUAUUGCAGGAAGGAGAAAUUAAGCUCUGAUUUCAAGAGUUCUUCUCACUGGCCAAUGUUGAGAGAAUCAUGGGCUUCGCAUUGUUUAUCUCCUUUGAAUUUGUGAGACUGUUAGAGCUGUGGUUGCUAUCUUAUUGUUGGCACAAAAUUUGGGUUAUCUGACUCUUUUUUGGAAGUAGAAGUAGCAAUGAUCCUCUACCUAGGUUGAAUUACUCAUGUCAGAUACCUGAAACAACUCAAAGUUUCAGUCAUGGAACCUCUCCAAGAUGAAGAGGGACAGUAACCACUGGCCAAGCCAACUUCUGUAACUUGUUAUUCUAACAAGGACCAGCAUAUUAGAGCUGUUUCUUCACUGAUGAAGCAGCACCUGCAGCAUCCUUUGCAGUACUUGUCUGCAUGUGUAUUCCCUGAUAGCACGCAGCUGCUCACUGUGGAGAUGUUCAUAGCUGAUAAAUCUUACUGAAACUUGUUAUACUUGUUAUGGUGGAAAUCAAGGAAGAACUCCUGAUGCAUCAUACUGUUUUGAUAGAAAUGAAUCCAACAACAUGUAUGAUCUGUGAUAUAACUGCUGAAAUCCAGUGAACCAGAAGAAAAAUAGCACUUCAGUGAUUAAGUUCUGCAAUCCCCUGAGAUCUGCCGAGUUCAAACCUAGAGAGGAUCGAUCUAUAAGGUGUCUACCAUGACUAGUCUUUUGAGUUAGCUCAUCAUAACACACUGUAGUUAGCUAGCUGCACACUGCAAUCUAAUCUUCUCGAUCCUCGUGUCGAUUUGCGUCUCCAAAAUGAUGGGAUUUUGGGAAUCAUUAGUCCUAAGAACAGAAUUCAAGGAUGUAAAUGAUGAGACUUUGAUCACUACAAGGUGCUGAACUCACUUGGAUCGGAGGAAGACAGGAGGCGCACUCAUGAGACCGAUGGCUCGGCGGUGCUGGGGCGGAGAAGGGCAAGUCUCUUGCGGUCAUUGGAGGACCGGGAGGCGGAACCGAAGGAGGUGGCCUCGUCGUUUGCCGCCGCGGGGGUCAAUGCGCGAUAGGUCGCCUCCUGUCAUCCAUUCGUGCAUUAUUCUUCCCUUUUGUGCAAAUGAUGUGACAUGAUGGAAGAUUCGGGAUGGGUGACUCGAUAUCAGCAGCAGAUUUAGGGUUCAGAUUCAUAUUUGCUCUUUAAAAGCGGAAAUUUUAUGGGAAGAUUGCAGUUUUUGGCAAUCAAAAUUCAAAAACCUUGCUCUUUUUUCGUAGGUUUGAAGCUAGAAGACACAAUUUAAUCGAGAGAAUUAGUAUCUUUCUUCAAGGCUAUCGAUUAAGAUGGGGAAAGGAUCAAACUUUUGUCUGAAUUGAAGGCCAAAUAGUGGACGAAAUUAGACAUGAUGCAGAUCACAGAUUUAGAUAUUGAGGAAUGGAUGUUCUUGAAUCAUGUUGUCUAAAUCGCAGAGAGAGGUGGAAGACGACUGAUUUACCUGUGAGACGCCGAGAUCGACAUUCUCCCGCAUCCGCUUCAAGAAGCCACCGCCAUUCCCCAUCCGACCCGACUCCUCGCCGCUCGACGAGCUGGCCACAGGGGGCGGCGUCAUCGACCACGGCACCACCUGGUUCUCCCCCUCGUCGUCGUCGUCGUCCCCCUCGUCCUCGUCCGCGUCCGCAUCCUCCUCUCCCUCGUCUCCAUCGUCCUCUUCGUCAUCGUCCUCAACCACCUCCCGUUCUUCCCCUUUCCCCUCUCCCCCCUCGUCGUCAACGCCGGAUCCUUUCCCCUGGCCUCCGUCGCCGUCCUCCGCGCCAUCGGCAGCGGCACACCGCUCGCAGACGGUGACGGUGGGGCCCAGCCUGGCACCUUCCGCCCGCCAUGGCGUGGGCGACUGGCAGCUCCGGCAGAGGAGGCAUCUGGUGUGGCGUGCCACCAGGAAAUUGGCGCCGUGUACCCUGGCAUCGCACUCCCAGCACAGGCUCGCCUGGUCCGACUCACACAGCAUCCUCGCCGGCCGAUCGCACAGCUCGCACUGCUUCACCCCCAUCCCUCCCCUUCUCGAUAGAUCUCCUCUCGGUCCCACCUGCGCCUUCAAUUCGUUUCUCCUCUUCCUCGGUUCUUUCUCCUCCGCUUCCUUCUGCCGGUCUUAUUAUUUCAGUGAGUCAAAAAAGAACCGAAAUUACUGAUAAAGACUUCACGUGUCACUUUAUUUGAUCGCCUUGGAGAUCCGCUCACCGGUAGACUUACUUGCGGCCGCUCUCGACACCCCUACCACUAUAAAUUAGAUUUUGGAACUCGAUUCAUCGCCAUGGCAGGCGGUGACCUGAUUCACAAUGGAACACGCACCGGGGUAACUUCGUCAUUUAAACUCCACGGGGAACCGAUCACGGCCGUCAUCCUUCGGUUAUUACUCCACGCACGAAUCAGGGCGCAUCAGCGUGGCGCCCGCCGUCGCCCCUGCCCACGUGAUUCAGGACCGCGCCUCCUAUACCUGACCGUCCCUUGGGUCCUUUGUUCGCUGCUCCACGUGGAGACAUCUGAGUCACCAUGCGAGGUCCGCUCCUGUUCAGACUUGGGGGAUCAGGUGCGCUCCGCCGACGCGCGCGCUUACCGCUUACCGCUUACCGCCAUCUCCAAAGCCGCCUGUUUCAGCCCACAGAAUUGCCUUUUGUUCAAAGCCGGUGGUAUCCCACAGAAACGGACGGCGGAUAUUUGCCGAGGCACGGACGCCUAUCUCCAGCCACGAAUCGAAGAUGCGAUCCUCCGAAGAUCCGAUCCUGUCACACGUGUCGGUCCGCCCUCCUCGGUUCCCUCCGCCGUCCGAUCGUAAUCGGAGGGCGCGUGGGGAAAGAUGUGGCGUCGGAAGUACGGCGACGAUGGCGAUGGCGACGGCGACGGCGAUGAGCUCUUGUUGUGACACGAAAGCAUGGGCGUGCGGAGUGAGUACAAAGAGAUGAAUGGGACGGACGGAGGGCUGAGGAGGAGGGUGAAGGCACGGCUUUGAACCUGGACUGGGAAGAAUACCUGGCUGUGGAUGGCUCAGAAUAAAGAUGACGGCGACGGCGCUGAGGAGGUAUGUCUUCCGCCGGGGUGUUCCAUCUGCAUCAGUACCUGCCUCACCCUAAUCUCAUCAUAAAUCACGUGGUCUUCAUCAGGGAAGAGAAAAGAAGGAGCAUUUUUAGUUUGUGUUGUGUGUGGUUGUCUGCGAUUUCAGAGAACGUCUCUCCGUGACUGUGCGAUGGUCUUCGAUAGGCAUUAUUACAGGUCGAUGUUGACUUCUUCAAAACCUUGGUUGAGAUUCACCUGAAGAAUGAAUCCGGUGGCAUGGAAUUGAUUCCUUUGUGAGCCAUGAACAUAUAUUGGCAAGGAGAAAAGCCCACGGAAUCGAUCCACAUGGAUGGGAAUGCUCAAUAGCAGCAAGUUGAACAUUUCACGAAUGGCUAAGCAGGAUCUGACUCUAUCUAGUUCUAUCCAUUUGCUCGUAUGACGAACAACAUUGCAUUGAUUGCAGAGUAAUUCUAGCAAGAAACAAACAACUUGUUAUCAUGUAUGAUUGGUGCAGAUGGAGUGUGGAGAACUUGUCUGUUGCAACUCCUAAGUGGAUGAGGAGGAUGAAGACGCUUCAGGUUCAUGUUACCUCCUCGAGGUAGGAGAGACACCAGGCUGUUGCUGCAACAUCCCUAGCAGAGUGCCAUACACCCAAAGAUCUCCUUCUUCUUUUGGCACACAUCCUAUUCCGGGCAGUGUUUGGGGCGGGGUUGUUCCACACGAUUUUGUUUGAUUCCUUGGUUGCAUGGAAAUUGCCAGAACCAUGAAGUUGACUUGAAUUUUCUUCGUCCACGACACGCGCAAAUUAAUGUCAUGGAGGUCAAAGUCUCUACUCUUCUACCUCUCGACGUUAUCAUUCAUUCAGGCUCUUUCUUCGUUACUCACAAACAGAUCUCAUCUCAUUGGGAGACAGUGACGGAUGCAGCAUUGUCAAUAUCGUAGUCUACAAGUUUGAAGCUGCUGAUGGGUCAUCAAAUGCCUUUCUUAUGCCAAAGUCAUUCCGUUCAUGGCAGUAUUUUACAGCCAUCCAUAUUGACUGCAAACAGAGAAAGACUGUAAUUGUUCGAGUGUUUAUAAGGGUCGUCUUGGUUGGAGGAGGACAAAUCGAGUGAGAGGGAUAUCUUCUUCAGCCUCUGCUAGGAAUUCAACGAGAUGUCCCUCUGCACAUACUUGUUGAUCAAGUUCUUGAAGAAACGAAUAGGUAACUCCAUCUACACUGCCACUUUGCAAGGUCACGCAAGAGGCCUUUCCUUGUUGAUAUCAGACUGAUUUGUUCUGUGACAGCAAGAAGAAGAGCUGAAGAAGCAAGCAUCGAUGGUGUGCCAACACCACUAGAUCUUCCUUCACCUUCGGUUUCGCUUGAGAACGAGAUAGUGUCUGGAGAAGGACUAGUCUCCGCUUUAUAUGAUCUGAACACAAUUUUGGCAGCAACAGGGAUCUUCAGCAAUGAAAACAAACUCGGAGAAGGAGGGUACGGUCCAGUCUACAAGGUAAUUCCUCUUCUCUCGAUGAUAACUCGAUUUGAGCUUGAUCAUGACACAAGGGGUGCCAUGGCUGACCAGGGGAAGCUCCACGAUGGCCAAGAGAUAGCAGUGAAGAGGCUGUCCAAGAAGUCUGGGCAGGGCUCGAGGGAGUUCAAGAAUGAGGUGGAGCUGAUAUCAAAACUCCAACACAGGAACUUGGUUAGGCUUUUGGGUUGCUGCGUUCAUGGAGAUGAAAAGCUUCUCAUCUACGAGUUCAUGCCCAACAAGAGCUUGGAUGCCUUCCUCUUCGGUCAGUUGAUUUGUCGAGGGGCAACACAUAAUACUACCUCAAUUUGAUGACUAGAAAUGCUUGAUCGAUGAGCAUUUGCAUCCGUAGGAAACUAAUCUUUAGAUACUGAUCGACAUGUUACGUAGAUGCAUCCAAGAGCAGGCUUUUAGACUGGACCAAGCGUUUCAAUAUCAUCGAAGGGAUUGCCCGAGGAUUGCUCUACCUGCACCGAGAUUGUAGAUUGAAGAUUAUGCAUCGAGACCUGAAAGCAAGCAACGUUCUGCUGGACCAGAAUUUUAACCCCAAGAUAUCAGAUUUCGGCAUGGCACGCAUACUCCAUGAUGACCAGAUUCUAGCAAGAACUGAUAGAGUAGUUGGAACAAUGUAAGUCUGCAAAACCAUUCUUGAUUACAACCAUGUGAAGCAAAGAACACCAAUUGAUCGUGUGCCGAAAACAGUUUAAUUGUCAUGAUUGAAACUGAUGUUACGAUCCAAAAUACUUAUGCCUAGAUCAAGCCUCUAUAAAUCAGUUUAAGUAAGAUUAGCCUAGUAUGUCUCUAUGUGACUCUAGUUCCAUUGAUGCCUAUUCCGGCUCGAUAUUAUGUCGGUUCUAAUAUGCCCAAAAUUCUUAAUUCCAAUCUAUCACAUCUCCGACUUGAGUUCUUGACUAAAGGGGUGUUACAUGAAUGCAGUGGCUACAUGUCCCCGGAGUAUGCAAUGGAAGGGCAAAUUUCCGAGAAAUCUGAUGUUUUCAGUUUUGGUGUCCUGCUUUUGGAGGUGGUCAGUGGCAAGAGGAACAACUACUUCCUUGAUGAAGAUCUAGCUCUGAACCUUCUAGGCUAUGUAAGUACAUAUGCAAUUCUUCUCUUCAUCUAGUUUUACUUGUUGAUCAUUGAAAUUUAUGUGAUCGAACUGCACCCGAGAGUGCAGGCUUGGACAUUAUGGAAGGAGAACAGAGUGGUGGAGUUGAUAGAUCCAUCAUUAGGAGACUCAUGGAGCCAAGAGGAAGUGAUGAGAUGCAUCAAACUGGGACUUCUAUGUGUGCAAGAACUACCAGUAGAUAGGCCAACCAUGUCAGUCGUUGUCGCAGUGCUCAAUGGUGACAUUAAUCUUCCCGAGCCGAAGCAGGUUGCAUUCUUUGCAGGGAGAAGCCCCACGACGUCCAUUUCAUCCAUGGAUGACAGCAAGCGGAUAUCCUCUCAGGGUGAUCUUUCGAUCGUCCAGUUGUGAGCUGUUCUUGUGAUGCUGGGAAGAUGCAGCUGCUCAGUGUUGCAUUGUAAUCCAAUUAUAUCGCCAUUAAGAUGUUUGCUGUCACAUAGAAGUAGAGGUGUUGCCAUAUGAUGAAUGAAGUGGAGGGUGUAAAAUCCAAAAACAUGUUGAGCCUCAAGAUUAAUACAUGAGUUUUCUUGUUCUACUGUGGUUUUUUUUUUUUUUUGAAGGAAAAAGAUUAGAUCAAAUCAUCAAAUAUUCGAAUAGGACGUAUGAAGGAGAAUUGCCUCUUCCAAAAAUACUAGCAAGUUAUUGUCUUACGAAGAUUGUUGACAUGGAUGAAGAUUCAAUCGAUAACAAGUUAUGUUUUUGAGGAUCCAAGGGAUGUAACAUUUCAUUAAGAUUGACUUAUAGAGAUAUGAUGAAGGAGCAAUCUAACUAUCUCGAUUACCUGCUUAUAUAGAUUUAAGCAUCGGAGUGGAGACUGUGAGAAGAAGAACAUGGCUGGCUCGAAAGGAUUUGUGGAAGCUGGGGAGUGUGAUCAAGGUUUGGAACUUCCAUUGAUGAAGUCUGAGGACAUACUGUUUGCCACCAACAGCUUCUCUGAUUCAAAUAAGCUUGGAAAAGGAGGGCUCGGCAUAGAUUACAAGGUGAAGCAUGAGACCUGAAUCCAUAGAAAUAUCUUAAACAUCAAACUUGAUUUGCAUGUUUCGAUUGUUUAAUAUGAAUCACACGCAAAUGGGAACAGUUGUUUUCACCCUAUCAAAAACAAACACAUGCAUGAAGAUCAUGAUUGGUAUCUAAUCAUUAUUUGUGUCUGUUCAUUGUCCUGUUUCUGAUUAGCUUUCGUGCUCGCCUUUGUAUGAUCUAAUGUAACACCCUGAUCAGUUCAUGAAAGAAACUGUUCAUCAGAUGUGUUGCAUGUUACUAAGACAGCAUCAUGUUCUCAGGGUAAGCUUCCUGGGGUACAAGAAAUUGCUGUCGAAAGACUUGUUAGUGGAAGAUCCAGGCAAGGUGUAGUAAUGGAGUUCAAGACAGGUCGUUCUGAUCGCCAAGCUACAGCACAGGAACUUGGUUGCUGCAUCCAUGGCGAAGAGAAGCUCCUUGUCUAUGAGUACAUGCCCAACAAAAGCUUGGACUUCUUCCUCUUUGGUCUGUUCCUUAAGAUGGCUCACUCUCUCGAUCAUUCUUGACAGAUCCAACACAGAAGACAAAGCUUGACUGGGGCAGGCGAUUCAGCAUAAUCAAGGGGAUUGCUCGAGCACUUCUCUACCUUCACCGGGAUUCAAGGCUCAGGAUAAUUCACCGAGAUCUUAAGGAGCUUCUUUUACCGUAUAAAUAAAUGUCAAUUUCCGAUUCCAUUAUCAUAUGAACAUCAACAUGAGGAGGAAGAGGAAGAGGGAAACAAAUCGAAUAGUGAGAACUAGCUCAUGAAUCAAGCGGCGAAGGCAUGGUGGUCCAUCAGGUCGGGGCUGAGGCGGACCAUGAGGACGCAGAACUCCCACUGGCUGAGCGCGCCAUCGCCGUCGGAGUCGCCCUCGCGCAGCAUGGCGCGGAGGUCGUCGUCCCCCAGGGCGCCCAGGCCCAGCAGCGCGGCGUUGCGCUUGAGGCUGUCGAAGGUGAUGAGCCCCCGGCGAGGGUCCAUGAGUAGGCGAAAGCCGUUGGAGAGCUCCUCCAUGAGGCCUUCCUCGCCCAGCUUCUCCACCAUGAGGGGGAGGAAGUCCUCGAACUCCACUGGUUGCCGCCGCGCCGCCAUGGGAGAUGGAUUCAAUCGAUCGAUCGAAAGCACACCGAAGGGCAGAGAAGAAGAGGAAGACGAGGUGGGGGUC